UGCCAGCCGCCGCGGUAAUACGGAGGGAGCUAGCGUUGUUCGGAAUUACUGGGCGUAAAGAGCACGUAGGCGGAAUGGUAAGUUAAAAGUGAAAUCCCAGGGCUUAACCCUGGAACUGCUUUUAAAACUGCCAAUCUAGAGUAUGGUAGGGGACAAUGGAAUUCCUAGUGUAGAGGUGAAAUUCUUAGAUAUUAUGAGGAACACCGGUGGCGAAGGCGAUUGUCUGGGCCAAUACUGACGCUGAGGUGCGAAAGCGUGGGGAGCAAACAGGAUUAGAUA
rnacentral:rRNA from 1 species